GGCACCUCGCAGGCUCGCUGUUUAUUCUCAAGAAGGUUCUGGAACUCUGCCUGGGCCAGAGCCAGCAGGCCAGCCUCCCUUGAGGGAAGAAUUCAAGUCACUGCUUUACAGUCAACGCCGGGUUUUUGACCAAAAACGGAAUUGACCGGCUACAUCACCCGACCCUAUCCUCCCGCCUCGGCCCUGCAAGUUCUUCAUACUCAAAAGGGGAAGAAAUACGGACACUGAGGACAGCGGGGAGGAAUGUGCUGUCUGUGUGACGGACUCUCCAGCUGCCGUUCGGCAUUUAUGACAGAUUUUCUGCAACACGGGGAAGCGCCUGUGACCCGAUAUUAGGAAAAGAAAGAAAAAGAGGGACAGGAGAAAGGAUGGCAAAAAAGUGCACCCUAGGGUCCUACUCUGCUCGAGGAACAAGUCCUGGACUAGGAAGACAGGUUCCAAUUGUCUAUAAGAAGCACAUACUGAUUUUACAAUCAGCAUUCCACAUUCAGCACAAACUGCUGUGGAUAUGCUGGCGGCUGCUGAGGAAGGGGAGGGAAAAACCAUUCCUCAGACCACGGUGGCCUCCUUUCUGUUCCUCAGACAGACUGAUCUCAUGCUGGGCUGAGGCCUGUGCAGUUGCUGUUCCCUGUGUCGGAACACUGUUCCCCUAUCUUCUCCUUGCUGGCUCCUCCCCAAGCCAAUGCCACGUCCCCAGAGGGGGCUUCCCUGACCCCCCCGCCUGAGUUGCCCAAACCCCCAGCACUCCUCAGCCCUGCCACCCUACAUGUUUCCCUUCGAGGCACUUCACGUUGGAUGAAACCGUCUUUAUCUGCUGA